UUAUUAGGCUUGCAACUCUUUAACUGCAGUAAGGUAAUAAUGUUGUGGUACCAGAUAAAGCUGUGCUUUGUAUGAACUUUGUGGAAACCCAGGCAAGGAAAAGGAAGUUCAAAGGAUCUCUCCAACUGGGACUAACGAAGGGCAGGGGAGUGUGGGGUGGGGAGGAAAAAUGAAUGGAAAUGCCCGAGUGGCCUCAAGUUUCUAAAAGAAGUAGAGUUGGGUUCAUUUUGGGUGAAAGCCUCCUCCAAAGUUUCUACACAGUUACCACAGUUACCGCAGUUGGGUAAGGCAGAGCCUCCAGGAUUAAAUUACCCUAACACUUAGCAGCUUUAAACAAUAAUCUCCCCUUAUCCAUUCAGGUCUGGGAGGUCAGGAAUCCAGAAACAGCUUGGCUGAGUGGCUCUGGAUGAGGGCUUCUCAAGCACGGUCGGCUAUUGGCUGGAGCUGUCUCAUCUGAAGGCUGGACUGGAAGAUCCGCUUCCAAGAUGGCGCACUCACACGGCUGUUGGCAAGAGGCCUGGGUUCCUCCUCGCAUGCAUCUCUCCACAGGGCUGCCUGAGUGUCCCCACGACAUGACAGCAGGCUUCCCCCUGCAUAAGUAAUAGAGAGAAGAGAGGGAGAGGUAUGUAUUACUUUUUGUGAUCCCAUCCUCUCUGCUUUGUUCUAUUCACUAAACAUGAGGCACUAAACCAAGCUCACGCUGGAAGGAAGAUGAACAAGGCUGUACAUGUUGAAGGCGGGAGUUUUAAAGAAUUAUUUGUGCCAGGUAUGGUGUUGCACGCCUGUCAUCCCAGCAACUGGGGAGGCUGAGGCAGAAAGAUUAUACAUUGGAGGCCAGCCUGGGCAAC
rnacentral:lncRNA from 1 species